CUCGCACUCGGGCUCUGCGACUAACGGGUAGAAGGAGCCGUUGCGUAGGGGCUGAGCUACCGCCGAUAUGCCGGUGUUGCCGCUGCGAGUGGCUGUGGUGUGUUCGAGUAACCAGAACCGGAGCAUGGAGGCGCACAGCAUCCUUAGCAAACGAGGCUUCAGUGUCCGGUCCUUUGGCACAGGGACCCAUGUGAAGCUUCCGGGACCAGCGCCCGACAAGCCCAAUGUUUAUGAUUUCAGAACCACAUAUGAUCAGAUGUACAACGAUCUUAUUAAGAAAGACAAAGAACUUUAUACACAGAAUGGCAUUUUACAUAUGUUGGACAGAAAUAAGAGAAUCAAACCCCGGCCAGAGAGGUUCCAAAACUGCAAAGAUCUUUUUGAUCUGAUCCUCACUUGUGAAGAGAGAGUCUACGACCAGGUGGUGGAAGAUCUGAAUUCCAGAGAACAGGAGACCUUCCAGCCGGUACAUGUCGUCAAUGUGGACAUCCAGGACAACCACGAAGAGGCCACUCUGGGAGCGUUUCUCAUCUGUGAGCUCUGCCAGUGUAUCCAGCAUACGGAGGAUAUGGAGAAUGAGAUCGAUGAGCUGCUGCAGGAGUUUGAGGAGAAGAGCGGCAGAACCUUCCUACACACGGUGUGCUUCUACUAACCCCCAGGCCUGCCCUCCCUCUGGAAGCCAGAAGCCAUCUUCCUCAGCCUCCUUUUGUUGACGUUUUCUUCUAAUGGUUAUUUUGACUUUUACGUAUUCUGUUGGUGGACAGUAAUAUUAUGCAGUAAACUGUACUACAUGAGAAGAUACACAUAAAUGCCUGAUUAAAAACAGUCCGGCUUUUUCUAUCCCACUUUUAUUUAUGAAUAGGAUAUUGGUUAUAAAGUUUUCUUUAAUCGAUAAAAAAAUAAAAUGAUUUAUAGUUCAUUUCCCUUGACAUUCCUGUGUCCUCGGUUGUGCCUUUUUCCCUUCCCUCCCCCUCAACUGGCUGGACUGUACAGAUACUUGCAUAAAGUAAUGGGCUUUAUCUUAUUA